AUUAACCUAAAAACUCCAAAACAACGCAGUACACACCGUUUUCCUCUCAAAGACAGGCAAAGACGGGUUUCUAAUUCACCAGCUUUCACCUAUGUACAGUGGCUCUGAUGAGCUUGACUGUUUACAAAAGGACGUCCUAAAGGCCUCUCCUUUCCGAUCCUUUGAGUCUAGCUGACAACUCGGCCUGCGGCGGAUAUGUCCUUUUCCCAUCUUCACAGAGGCUCUGACGUGAGAAACACUGUCUCAGCUGCGUUCCUCUGAUUUCUCAUAUUAGAGGACAGCACUAGUUCUGCAGGGGUCCGAUCUCUGAGCCAACAGAAGAAACAGAUGGUAAAAAAUGAGAUUGGAGGAUGGGUUUACAAAGUUAUAUUAUUCACAGUUUUUGAUCAAAAAUAUAAUUGUAACAAAAGGAAUAGAAAUCCUAUUUUUCAUAUAUCUGCUGCUGAAGAAUUCAGUUUUGUUCAGUCUCUGUUAACAAAACACAACAAACUUUUAUUAGAUGAGACAGGGGUCAAUACGUACAUUUCUGCAAUUUGGCAGAUACGAUGUAACAUAACUUUAGCCUAUACUUGUGUGUUAUAAAUACUUUUAUACUAAUAAAAUGUAUUAUAUGCUUAAUAUUAAAUGUAUGUGCUGCUAUUAAACACUUUAUUUAACAGAUGAUUGUGAUAUAAUAAUAAUAAUAAGUAAUACUUUUAAAAUACCAGCUGAUAAAGCUUCUAGAGAUUUAAUGAACAGUGAUCUCUUGCCGUCAAAUCUGCAGACAAAUGCUUGUAGCUGUAGGCAGACUUUCUGUUUGGUUAGUAUUGCGGUGCUAUGGUUUGGAUCAUGUUCCUCCUGGUGAGUUUACCUGUCAUGCUAUGCCUCUGUGAUGAAUGAUGCCUCCAGGGAGUCUGCAGUCACCUGUUUGUUUAUUGAUGUAAAUGGAGCUGGGUACUAAACAGGCCAACUGAAACAGUCAGAAAAGGGCCUACUAAACUGAAUAGGCCAUUAAGGUUGACAAAUGUGUUGGCAAAAAACAAACAAACAAUCUGUCCUAAUGUAUAAGCCCGAUAUGUAAAUUAAUUGUGUGGGUUUAGAUUAAUGUGAUAAUAAAACAAACAAAUAGUUCCUAUUAACACUUUUUAAUCAAUUUUCACUACUUGUUAUUAGCAUGCAUAAUACUAUUGUGUAUAUAUAUAAUAUAUAUAUAAAAUAUGCCUGUGCGUUUAUAAAACAAUACUUUGGUUUCUUGUAAAGUUGACAUUAUUUGCAAUUCAAGUUUGUUUGUUUUUUAAUAUACUGGUUUGCAGUGUUUGUAUGAGAGUUUGCAGGGUCACAGUCUUAAUGGCAUUGCUAGAGAAUUAAAAAGUGUCUACUGGAGGAAAUCAAAUGUCAAUGUGACAUAAAAUAUGUAAAAAGAUGAUUCUUUAAUGCUGAAGUUCCAAUUGUGGAACAGUCUUUACUUUUGUUGAAUCACAGAGAUGUCAUUGGGGUCUUUGUCAGAUUGAGGGAUACGCUUUGGGACACAUGGACAUGUGGAUGAAUGGAAAGAAUAGUGGGUGGGAAAAACCUGCUUCCCUGGUUUACAAAUCAAGCUACAGUUUCCAUGUGAAACACAAUCUAUACAUAUUUGAUUCAGCAUAUUGUAUGAGCUGAUGUUUGUGGUGAAUGUGAAAAAGGAUAGAGGAUUGUUCUGUUCUUUUUACCGAAGCAGACCAGAGGUUCCCAUGGGAAUUUAUUCCAUAGGAGAAAAUCUGAACUUUCAGGGAUGUGAAAACAACACUCUCUGCCCAUCAUCACACACACUCAUCUAGAGAGAAACUUGACUCUCACUGAUUUCUCCUUGACUGUGGAUUCAGUUAUUCAUCACUUAAUGGAUGCUUUUUGUCCAAAAAAGUGUCUUGCUCGAGGUCUCGAGGAGAAAUUCUCCAUUUCACCGCUCUCACUUUCCAUGGUUUAAAAUAAGAACCCACCCAAAUUUAACUGUGCCACCAUUCAGUUAAGAAGUAGAAGUUCAUCAUUCUGCAGAGAGAACAGACAGGAUGUAUUAUUCAUAACAUAAUAAUAUAUAUUUUUCAUAGGCCUAAUGACAGUUUGAAUUACCCUAUUGAAUUUACAGUCUACUUUAGAACUGUAGGCACAUAUUGUCUUUAGAAUCCUUAUAGGGGUUGAAUAUUUCUGCAUGAAAAACAAACUGGAGUGGGGCGAUGACAUUAGGCCAUUGAUACUUUGUGAGUCAAAUUAGAGCAAAAGAUGAUCUGUUCUUUAAAAAGUAAUUUCCAUUUGGUUUUUACUCUUACAUGACCGCAUUUUGUGACCUCUCUCCUUCUGACUAGUAAUAGUAAAUGAAAAGCUCUUGAAAAUGAAUGCACUUGCCACCAAUGGGUUGAGAAAGCUUUUAGCAUAACCACUCUUCAGUAAAACUUCUGUAAAAUUCCAGGAUGUAGUAGAGAUGACAAGUAGAAUUUAGUGAAAACUCUUUUCCUUUGAAUAAUGGUUCAGCUGUAGUUCACUGUCACGUAUCCACAUCUUAUGAAUGAUGUAACUGUACAUGUGUAGACUUGACAAUUGAUAUCUGUAUCUGUGAAGGUAAUAGAGAGAUGGUGGAAAAGAAUUCAGCCGUGACAAAAGCAUGGAAUAAAUAAAAUAAGAUGUGACCUUUCAGUCAUCCUUACCAAACACUGUAUCCUUUCAGCUUCCUAAAAAACAUUUUGACUGAUUAAUCUUUUGAAAAGCAGUUGGCUUCUAUGUGAGUUUUUAGACAGUACUUUAAAUUUAGUCCGUUUUUUAUUGUCAUAUUUAUUUUUACCUUGACUAAAAUGCUAUAAACCCUUUCCAAAUCACACAACUGAUUUGUUUCCUCUGUGAUCAACUACAUAGAUGACAUGGCAGUAAUGUGAGACAGAAAUAUAUGUAAAGCAAAAAAGUGAAAAGAGAGAACAACACAGUUAGGGUGGAGCGGUUUAGGGUGGAGGCUAUAGAGAAUUGUCAGAAUGUUUCACUUUCAAAAAAACUGCCACAACUGUCACAAUUAAUAAAGUUCAAGUCUUAAUCUCCUUGUGUCAAUAUCAUAACUGAAUCUUAAAUCUGUAAUCAUUUGCAAGUGUAAUGUUCUGCAGCUUGUUAGAUGCAUCCUGCAGCUUCUAACAAGCUCUCCCUAAAACCUAUAAACCUACUCAAGAGCCCUUUAAACAAGAGACCACCCAUCUCUUAAGAGACUAUAUCUCUCAUUCACCUGUACAGAGUUGUUAAGUUUGCACUACAAAAAACCUGGAAGGCUUUUAUAAGUCAUGGUGCC